rnacentral:rRNA from 1 species
UACGGGGGGGGCAAGCGUUGUUCGGAAUUACUGGGCGUAAAGCGCACGUAGGCGGAUUGGCAAGUCAGGGGUGAAAUCCCGGGGCUCAACCUCGGAACUGCCUUUGAUACUGCCAGUCUAGAGUCCGGAAGAGGUGGGUGGAAUUCCACGUGUAGCGGUGAAAUGCGUAGAUAUGUGGAGGAACACCGAUGGCGAAGGCAGCCUUCUGGGCCAACACUGACGCUCAUGCACGAAAGCGUGGGGAGCAAACAGG